rnacentral:rRNA from 1 species
CCUACGGGAGGCUGCAGUAGGGAAUCUUCCACAAUGGACGAAAGUCUGAUGGAGCAACGCCGCGUGAGUGAAGAAGGGUUUCGGCUCGUAAAGCUCUGUUGGUAGCGAAGAACGAUAGAGGUAGUAACUGGCCUUUAUUUGACGGUAAUUACUUAGAAAGUCACGGCUAACUACGUGCCAGCAGCCGCGGUAAUACGUAGGUGGCAAGCGUUGUCCGGAUUUAUUGGGCGUAAAGCGGGCGCAGGCGGUACAAUAAGUCUGAUGGGAAAGCCUUCGGCUCAACCGGAGAAAUGCAUCAGAAACUGUUGAACGUGAGUGCAGAAGAGGAGAGUGGAACUCCAUGUGUAGCGGUGGAAUGCGUAGAUAUAUGGAAGAACACCAGUGGCGAAGGCGGCUGUCUGGUCUGCAACUGACGCUGAGGCACGAAAGCAUGGGUAGCGAACAGGAUUAGAUACCCGAGUAGUC